GGGUCAGUAGGUUGGUCGUGCCACCGGUACGUACUGGUCUCACUGAUUCCUCCUUCCUGAAGAACCGUAAUGCCAUUAAUUUGGUGUUGCGGGGAAACAGGACUGUUACUUUGAAAAGAUUAGAGUGUUUAAAGCAAGCUAACGCUUGAAUACAUUAGCAUGGAAUAAUGAAAUAGGACGAUCGAUCCUAUUUUGUUGGUUUCUAGGAUUGACAUA
rnacentral:rRNA from 1 species